rnacentral:rRNA from 1 species
GACGUAGGGCGCGAGCGUUGUCCGGAUCUAUUGGGCGUAAAGAGCUCGUAGGCGGUCUGUCGCGUCGGAUGUGAAAGCCCGGGGCUUAACCCCGGGUCUGCAUUCGAUACGGGCAGACUAGAGUGUGGUAGGGGAGAUCGGAAUUCCUGGUGUAGCGGUGAAAUGCGCAGAUAUCAGGAGGAACACCGGUGGCGAAGGCGGAUCUCUGGGCCAUUACUGACGCUGAGGAGCGAAAGCGUGGGGAGCGAACAGG